GAUGAACGCUGGCGGCGUGCCUAAUACAUGCAAGUCGAGCGAACGGACGAGAAGCUUGCUUCUCUGAUGUUAGCGGCGGACGGGUGAGUAACACGUGGAUAACCUACUUAUAAGACUGGGAUAACUUUGGGAAACCGGAGCUAAUACCGGAUAAUAUUUUGAACCGCAUGGUUCAAAAGUGAAAGACGGUCUUGCUGUCACUUAUAGAUGGAUCCGCGCUGCAUUAGCUAGUUGGUAAGGUAACGGCUUACCAAGGCAACGAUGCAUAGCCGACCUGAGAGGGUGAUCGGCCACACUGGAACUGAGACACGGUCCAGACUCCUACGGGAGGCAGCAGUAGGGAAUCUUCCGCAAUGGGCGAAAGCCUGACGGAGCAACGCCGCGUGAGUGAUGAAGGUCUUCGGAUCGUAAAACUCUGUUAUUAGGGAAGAACAUAUGUGUAAGUAACUGUGCACAUCUUGACGGUACCUAAUCAGAAAGCCACGGCUAACUACGUG
rnacentral:rRNA from 1 species